AUUCAGCUGACGAGUCCCAAACUGGACGAAACGCGCAUUCUGGAU
rnacentral:hammerhead_ribozyme from 1 species